UACGUAGGGGGCGAGCGUUGUCCGGAGUUACUGGGCGUAAAGCGCUUGUAGGCGGUCCACCAAGUUUGGGGUGACAGUUGCCGACUUAAUCGGCAAAGUGCCUCAAAGACUGGCGGACUUGAGGGCCACAGAGGGACAUGGAACUCCAGGUGUAGUGGUGAAAUGCGUAGAUAUCUGGAAGAACACCAACGGCGAAAGCACUCUGCUGGGCCGACACUGACACUGAGAGACGAAAGCUAGGGGAGCGAAUGGG
rnacentral:rRNA from 1 species